GGUGUUGUUGGUGUUGAGUUCUCUCUUCAAUCUCUGCUUUGCCUCCUUGAUGCCAGCUUUCAGUCUCGCUCUGGCAGAUCUCUUUGCUUCCUUGUCACCUGACCAAAAAGCAGCUUUUUUUGACUCUUGAUAGAGCCCUUUACUCUCCAUUCAUCCAGACUUUCUGGAUGUGGAAUUAUUUUAUCGUCUUAGUGACUGCCACAUCAUCAACGCAUUUGCAGAUGUAUGAUGUCACUGCUGAUGUCUAGUUCUCAGAUCUAUCUGUAUUUACUCGUUUUUUUCUAAUUCCAUCUGUCUUUCAAAUUUCCCCACAUGGGACUUUCUGCAAAACGGGUCAGAAUUGAAACUGUACACUAAUGUUGUUGUCCAUCACUGGUUUGCAGUGGAGUCAGAAAAUAAAGCCAUCUAACAGCACGAAUGACACCUCUGAGGCGGAGAGAAUAGUCGGGGGAAGAAGACAAACACAGGAGGUGCUAAUGAAAGAAAGGAGAAGAGACUAGGUGUUAAUGUCGCCUAUCGUCUCUUCAGCGUUUUCACUCAAGGUGUAACUGUUAAAGUCUAAAUGCAGUCUUAGAACAAGAUUCAGAACAUCAGCUAGACGUCAAUGAGCUACAGGUAAGUAUUCAUACACUACAUGAAGAAAUGAGGCAUAGCAGGAAGGAAUUAACA